CAUGGAAUAACAUGGCGGUAUCCAAAACAAUAGAGGAAGGGGUAAAGCGUAAAAGUAUCCCUCGCGGAAAACCAAAGUCCGGAAGGGUUUGGAAGAAACUGCAGGCAUAAUAGAGUAUGGGACUGUCCAGAAAUCUUGCUUGUGAAAGUCAAAUUUGCAUUUAAUUGUAAAAUCUUGGCCUUAAAAAAACAAAUAUCCGUCUGAGUUCUUAGACGCGCCACUUAAAUUUUGACUACGCAGAAGCUGUGUGCAGGGAAAUUUUCUGAAGAAAACCAAAAGGAAGAAGACCUGUGUUGUCAUUUGUUCUUCUUAUCUUUGGAGCACAAGAACAGCAA